rnacentral:rRNA from 1 species
GUAUGGCUGUUCGCCAUUUAAAGUGGUACGCGAGCUGGGUUUAGAACGUCGUGAGACAGUUCGGUCCCUAUCUGCCGUGGGCGUUGGAAGAUUGAAGGGGGCUGCUCCUAGUACGAGAGGACCGGAGUGGACGAACCUCUGGUGUUCGGGUUGUGUCGCCAGACGCAUUGCCCGGUAGCUAAGUUCGGAAUCGAUAACCGCUGAAAGCAUCUAAGCGGGAAGCGAGCCCUGAGAUGAGUCUUCCCUGAUACUUUAAGUAUCCUAAAGGGUUGUCGGAGACUACGACGUUGAUAGGUCAGGUGUGUAAGUGCUGUGAGGCAUUGAGCUAACUGAUACUAAUUGCCCGUGAGGCUUAACCAU